UACAGAGGGGGCAAGCGUUGUUCGGAAUUACUGGGCGUAAAGGGCGCGUAGGCGGCCUGCUAAGUCGAACGUGAAAUCCCCGGGCUUAACCCGGGAACUGCGUCCGAUACUGGCUGGCUUGAAUCCGGGAGAGGGAUGCGGAAUUCCAGGUGUAGCGGUGAAAUGCGUAGAUAUCUGGAGGAACACCGGUGGCGAAGGCGGCAUCCUGGACCGGUAUUGACGCUGAUGCGCGAAAGCGUGGGGAGCAAACAGG
rnacentral:rRNA from 1 species